ACCUGUCAAUCCUGUUCGUAGCUUCAUUGUUUACAUGCUGAAACCCGUCGGAUCGAUACCGUUUGCACGCGCACGAAUACGAAUACGAAUGCAUCAGACUGAUGAGCUUCUAACGAUGCGUAAAGGUAUGCGUACACGUGUCUGAUUCGCCAUAGGACAUAUUUAAUAAGCGGCAAACGCGUUGCGCGUGCCGAAGAAGAGAAGGAGCUAGAGAAAAGGGAGGUGUAUGUGUGCGUCGUAUCGUUGUAUGUGUCGUAUGUGAGCGGGAAAGAAGCGACGCCGCGGCCGGCACGGCGCGCUGGCGAUGGAUCACUCCUAGUCACUUCCUUAACUUUUGUUCCGACGACGCGAUAGAACCUCGAGGAUAUAUUCCCGCGCCAACUUGGGACAAUUUAUGGGACACAACGUCACCAGCUGGGAGAUGAUACGUACGCGGGAGGAAAAGUCGAAUUUCGACAUUUUCGACGGUACGGACGGCACCGAGGUUCAGCAUACGAUUAUGAACAACAUGGUAGACGCCAGGGCCUGUUACAAGCCUAGCGGCAAAUCGUGGUUCCGCGGCGUUCGAAGCAGCAAGUUUCGACACGUUUACGGCGUGCCAGCCAAGAGGGAGAAAUGUUACGACAACAUCAAGAUCACAAAAAACGCCCACGAUUCGCAAUUCUGCGCCGUAAAUCCCAAGUUCCUGGCCGUCGUGACGGAGGUUGCGGGCGGUGGAGCGUUUCUUGUGUUAUCAUUGGAUCGCACCGGACGACUUGACUUCAACGCCAGCCGAGUAACUGGACAUACCGGUCCCGUUUUGGACAUCAAAUGGAAUCCAUUCAACGACAAUAUCAUCGCGUCCUGUUCCGAUGAUUGCACUAUAAAAUUGUGGCAUGUACCUGAUGGCGGAUUGUCAAGGAAUUUGACCGAAUGGCUGGUGGAGUUGCAAGGACACAAACGACGUGUCGCUUAUAUCGAGUGGCAUCCGGUAGCAGAGAAUGUGCUUUUUAGCGCCGGCUUUGAUCAUCUUGUUAUCGUGUGGGACGUGAACAGAUGCGAAGCAGUUAGCGUCAUCGAUAGACAUCCUGAUGUGAUUUAUAGCAUGUCUUUAAAUCGUGACGGCAGCUUAUUGGCGACCACUUGCAAGGACAAGAAAUUACGCGUUUUUGAACCAAGGUCCGGUAUCGUAGUUUCGGAAGGAGUAUGUCACGCUGGCACGAAAGCUAGCAAGGUAGUAUUUCUUGGCAGUUCCGGACGUCUUUUGACUACUGGAUUUAGCAGACAUUCGGAUCGACAAUAUGCGAUAUGGAGUCAACAUGAUUUAACUGUUCCACUGACGUGUGAGACGAUAGAUUCAUCGAGCGGAGUGGUUUUUCCAUUUUACGAUAAUGAUACCAACAUGGUGUUUUUGGCCGGAAAGGGUGAUGGUAAUAUUCGAUAUUAUGAAGUGGUUAAUGAAGCACCUUGGGUGCAUUAUCUCAGUCAAUUUAUAUCGGGAAAUCCUCAGAGAGGAUUGGGAAUAAUGCCGAAAAGAGGCAUUAAUACCUCUUUAUGCGAAGUAUUCAGAUUUUAUAAGUUACACGCGACUCGUGGAAUGUGUGAGCCGAUCUCGAUGAUAGUACCACGGAAGAGUGAUCAAUUUCAAGAAGAUCUAUAUCCUGAUACAAUUGGAACGUGUCCCGCAUUAUCAGCUAGAGACUGGACCAGCGGCAUGAACAGCCCACCAGUUUUAAUCUCUCUUAAAACAGGCGGGAGUAUCUCUACGCAUAAGCCACGAGUAUACAAGCCACCGCAAUUACCUGCGACCACUGAUCUGAAUAAUAAAAAGAAAUUUGCGUUCUUGUCUACGGAAACGAUACCGGAUUACAGACCGGUGGAAUUACACGAUAUGUCGGAAAAGAGCCAAAAAACAUCCAGCAAUCAAAGCACAAAGUUUCAGCAACUUCAGCAGAAGUUUGGAAAUGUCACUAUACAGAAGAAUAUUAUAUCGUCUUCGAUUAAUGACAAUAAAGUUAUGGAGACUGUGGAUGUUCCAAAUAAUGAAGCAGAACUUCGUUUGGCAUUGGCUCGUCAAACUGACGAAUUGAGACUGGUACGACGGCAGCUCGCUAAUAGCCAACUGCGUGUUAAGGAAUUAGAGGACCAAAUACGAAAAUUGCAGCGUCAACAAUAAAGUUUAACUUAAACUCGCUUUGGCAUCUGCUUUGAAUAAGACUCUUACAGCUUUACUACUACACGUGAUUAUCAAUGUCUUGCGCCAUGUCUAACGCCGAGACAUUACCAUGUCUCCAGAUCAAUACUUAAGAAUAUCUACAAUUUUUAUGUAGAAUGAAAUGUCACGUUAAUCACAAGGGAACAGGAGGAACAGUUAGCUGCAUUUGUUACAUAAAAAUUGUACCUGUUUACGCACAUACUUAGAUGCGUAAGUCGGAUAUUAAGAAGUUAAGAGAAACACAAUAGACAAAAUGGCAGCGUAAAGGUAAUUCAUGGUAUUGUCAGUUAAAUGACAUACUUUACUUUUUUUGAAAACGAUAUUAUAUUAUACUACUAGUCUGUUAAUCAAUUGUUUAUUUUUUCUAUUACUGUUUUUGUAUGUUUAUUAGUUACUUAAUUGACGUAUUAUUUAAUAUAUUGCUUUAUCAUUAGAGAUAUUUCAAAAGACAGUAUUUCUUUGCGUAUUACGAUUAUUAUUGCUUCUAUUUGCAUUGUAAAUUUAUCCUUGCAACGCUUAAAAUGAUUUUUGUUGACGAUCUAUUAUACACUCUACAAAACUGCUAUGUCAUAUUAUAUCUAUUAGUAGUAUGGACUAGCGUGUUAAUGUAUUAAGCGUGUUAAUGCAUUUUGCUAUCGCGUAUAUUUUUCAUCACUGCCAUCCACUGCCGUGAUGUCGAUGGCAAUAAGAUCUCCACAUCUAUGAAUGCAGUGAUAUCUAAUGUCACGAUUAACUAAAAAAAAAAAAAAAAAAAAA
rnacentral:misc_RNA from 1 species